UACGUAGGGUGCGAGCGUUGUCCGGAAUUAUUGGGCGUAAAGAGCUUGUAGGCGGUUUGUCGCGUCUGCUGUGAAAAUCCGGGGCUCAACCCCGGACUUGCAGUGGGUACGGGCAGACUAGAGUGUGGUAGGGGAGACUGGAAUUCCUGGUGUAGCGGUGAAAUGCGCAGAUAUCAGGAGGAACACCGAUGGCGAAGGCAGCUCGCUGGGACGGUACUGACGCUGAGGCGCGAAAGCGUGGGGAGCAAACAGG
rnacentral:rRNA from 1 species